GUGUCAGCCGCCGCGGUAAUACGAAGGGUGCAAGCGUUAAUCGGAAUUACUGGGCGUAAAGCGCGCGUAGGUGGUUCAGUAAGUUGGAUGUGAAAUCCCCGGGCUCAACCUGGGAACUGCAUCUAAAACUGCUGAACUAGAGUACGGUAGAGGGUGGUGGAAUUUCCUGUGUAGCGGUGAAAUGCGUAGAUAUAGGAAGGAACACCAGUGGCGAAGGCGACCACCUGGCCUGAAACUGAGCCUGAGGUCCGAAAGCGUGGGGGGGAAACAGGAUUAGAUACCCUGGUAGUCAACCCCGUAA
rnacentral:rRNA from 1 species